rnacentral:piRNA from 1 species
UAAUCCCAAUCUGUGUCCUGGAUGUA